rnacentral:rRNA from 1 species
GAUGAACGCUGGCGGCGUGCCUAAUACAUGCAAGUCGAGCGAACAGACGAGGAGCUUGCUCCUCUGACGUUAGCGGCGGACGGGUGAGUAACACGUGGAUAACCUACCUAUAAGACUGGGAUAACUUCGGGAAACCGGAGCUAUACCGGAUAAUUUAUUGAACCGCAUGGUUCAAUAGUGAAAGACGGUUUUGCUGUCACUUAUAGAUGGAUCCGCGCCGCAUUAGCUAGUUGGUAAGGUAACGGCUUACCAAGGCAACGAUGCGUAGCCGACCUGAGAGGGUGAUCGGCCACACUGGAACUGAGACACGGUCCAGACUCCUACGGGAGGCAGCAGUAGGGAAUCUUCCGCAAUGGGCGAAAGCUUGACGGAGCAACGCCGCGUGAGUGAUGAAGGUCUUCGGAUCGUAAAACUCUGUUAUUAGGGAAGAACAAAUGUGUAAGUAACUAUGCACGUCUUGACGGUACCUAAUCAGAAAGCCACGGCUAACUACGUG